AUCCUUUCGUAGUUAACAAGCAUGUUUGGGUGUUCACGUGCAUAUGUAACAUGUGCCUCUCAAACUUUGUUAUGAUGCUGACACAUUAUCCAGCUGACG